UGGGGAAUAUUGGACAAUGGGCGCAAGCCUGAUCCAGCGACGCCGCGUGUGUGAAGAAGGCCUGCGGGUUGUAAAGCACUUUCGAUGGGAACGAAAUGUGCCGGGUAAAUACCCCGGUAAGCUGACGUUACUCAAUGAAGAAGCACCGGCUAACUCUGUGCCAGCAGCCGCGGUAAUACAGAGGGUGCGAGCGUUAAUCGGAAUUACUGGGCGUAAAGCGCACGCAGGCGGCGCAUUAAGUCAGGGGUGAAAGGCCUGGGCUCAACCCAGGAACUGCCUUUGAGACUGAUGUGCUCGAGUCCGGAAGAGGGUAGUGGAAUUUCCAGUGUAGAGGUGAAAUUCGUAGAUAUUGGAAAGAACACCGGUGGCGAAGGCGGCUACCUGGUCCGGUACUGACGCUCAAGUGCGAAAGCGUGGGGAGCAAACAGGAUUAGAUACCCCCGUAGUCCCUGAGCGGGCUGGCAAGGCGCAU
rnacentral:rRNA from 1 species